AUUGAACGCUGGCGGCAUGCCUUACACAUGCAAGUCGAACGGUAACAGGUUAAGCUGACGAGUGGCGAACGGGUGAGUAAUGUAUCGGAACGUGCCCAGUCGUGGGGGAUAACUGCUCGAAAGAGCAGCUAAUACCGCAUACGACCUGAGGGUGAAAGCGGGGGAUCGCAAGACCUCGCGCGAUUGGAGCGGCCGAUAUCAGAUUAGGUAGUUGGUGAGGUAAAGGCUCACCAAGCCGACGAUCUGUAGCUGGUCUGAGAGGACGACCAGCCACACUGGGACUGAGACACGGCCCAGACUCCUACGGGAGGCAGCAGUGGGGAAUUUUGGACAAUGGGCGCAAGCCUGAUCCAGCCAUGCCGCGUGCGGGAAGAAGGCCUUCGGGUUGUAAACCGCUUUUGUCAGGGAAGAAAAGGUUCUGGCUAAUACCUGGGACUCAUGGCGGUACCUGAAGAAUAAGCACCGGCUAACUACGUG
rnacentral:rRNA from 1 species